rnacentral:rRNA from 1 species
GUCCACGGCCACGCCACCCUGAACAAGCCCAGUGUCUGAUCUCGGAAGCUAAGCAGGGUCGGGCCUGGUUAGUACUUGGAUGGGAGACCACCUAGGAAGACCGGGUGCUGUAGGCA